rnacentral:rRNA from 1 species
UGGGGAAUAUUGCACAAUGGGCGAAAGCCUGAUGCAGCGACGCCGCGUGCGGGAUGAAGGCCUUCGGGUUGUAAACCGCUUUUAAUUGGGAGCAAGCGAGAGUGAGUGUACCUUUUGAACAAGCACCGGCUAACUACGUGCCAGCAGCCGCGGUAAUACGUAGGGUGCAAGCGUUAUCCGGAAUUAUUGGGCGUAAAGAGCUCGUAGGCGGUUUGUCACGCCUGGUGUGAAAGUCCAUCGCUUAACGGUGGAUCUGCGCCGGGUACGGGCAGGCUAGAGUGCAGUAGGGGAGAUUGGAAUUCCCGGUGUAACGGUGGAAUGUGUAGAUAUCGGGAAGAACACCAAUGGCGAAGGCAGAUCUCUGGGCUGUUACUGACGCUGAGGAGCGAAAGCAUGGGGAGCGAACAGGAUUAGAUACCCUGGUAGUCCAUGCCGUAAAACGGUGGAUGCUGGAUGUGGGACCCUUCCACGGGUUCCG